GCCUGGGUGGCUCAGUCGGUUAAGCGUCUGACUUCAGCUCAGGUCAUGAUCUCACGGGUCGUGGGUUCGAGCCACGCGUCGGGCU
rnacentral:tRNA from 1 species